rnacentral:lncRNA from 1 species
GGCGCAGGUGCUGCUGCACUCGCCUCCGGCCGUACAGCGCCGCCAGCUGCGGCCGUUGCUGCUGGCGCUGUGCCCCUGGCUAAUGUGCCACGGACACAACGUCCGUACCUACGCACAGCUGUGCAUGUGGGCGCUCCUGCAGCGCUUCCCGCCCGAGGCGCCGCUAUGGGAGCACUCAUUAGGUGGGGUAGGAGGAAGGGGGGUAGAGGGUAGAGAGUAAGGGACGUUUUCGAGCUGUCUUCGGCACACACGGCGGCGCGUGUGUAUGUCUGCGUUUUUCCUGAUGCAGACGGAGGAGGAGGUGGUGGGAGGGCGUGGCUUUGAGUAGAUGACCACUGAACGGGCAGCAGUGGUUCGGGAAGGGCCAUUUGGUGUACCGUGGCCUGAGAGCUAUAGGGCCAUCUGUAGUUCUUCACCUUCAUCUUCAUCCUUCAUCAAUGUCGCUCUGUGUUCCUUGUUUUCAAUCCUCGGCUCACGCCCCUGCUGCUUUACCGUCAUAUCCCCGUGUGUCUGUGUGUGUACGUGCACUUGUAUGUUUAUGCAUGUGUGUAUAUGUGUAUGUGUAUAUGCAUGUAUGUAUUCAUGUAUGUAUGUUCCCACCCAGGGGACCUGAGCUACCUGCGCCACAUGCUUGCCUUCAUGCACUCCAACGUGGACCUCGUG